CUCCUCUAGAGUAACACACCACAGUUUUGUGCUGUGCCCACAGGAGCUCCCCGGGCAACAGGUGGGCCAUGUUCGCAAAUGCCAGACUCUACAACGCAGGUCGAUAAUAGAAGGGAAGUAAAAAUUGGUUUUCUUUCCUUUUUUGUAGAGGUUUUUAAUUCGUCCAGUGUGCGUCUGAACUCUGAUUCACAGGAAGCUCCUUCUAGUUAAAUGCAAACACAAGUUCUCGCUGCGGCAUCCUGUCAAGUGUCUGAUAAGAAUGGUUGCACUAUAUGCCUGCUCAGUCCAUGUCAUCCUAGCGUUUAUGACCAUAUUAACAGAGGUGGUUGCCCCUGAGGUGCAGUCGAAGUGCUCAGAGUCCAUGAGAAACAUCACAGCAGUCAGUGGAAGCACAGUCCAUCUUCCCUGCCUUGAAUGUCUUGAUUCUUUGGAGCAUUUUAAUACCUUGGCAGUUCAAUGGAAUAAGACUCGAAGUUUCUGUCAUUACCGUAUGACACAAAACAACACUUCUAACAUGUUAUGUAGAGACCGUGUUGAGUUGAAGGGACACCCUGCUGAAGUUUACUUAAGGGAUCUCCAGCUCACUGACUCUGGUGUCUACAGAUGUUCUGUAACAAAAGUCAUUCCUCCACCAACACUGGAAAUAUUCAGCCAUCAGCUGAAGCUUCAUGUCAUAGAUAUCAUCGUAGGAGACCUGAACAGCAGCAAUCAAAACUGUACUCUACAGCUCUGGUGCAUGGUCGUGGGGCUUCUCAACGUCACGGUGAACUUCACCUGGAGCAGAAAAACGAAUGAGGGAUGGGAGGUUCUUCAACACAGAGAGCACUCCACAAACCAGAACAGCACCUUGGAGCUGUGUGAUGGUGGCUGCAACAAUGCGGAUGUCUUCAACUGCAGCAUCAACACCUCUGGCAUCAGUGGGUUCAAGAUAUUUAUAUUACCAUCAAGGAAAGGACUGUGUGUCCAGGACCUGCUUAUGAUCAUCGGGCUCAGCCUGCUGCCCCUGGCCAUUAUCCUUGUCUUGCUGACCAUUGGUUGCAUUACAUAUCAAAAAAGAAGAAGACAGCGAGAUGAAGCCAUGAUGUACACUAACAAGGUGUACGAGAACUUCAACUUCACCACUCCCAUACCCACGCCGUCCUUGAGUGAGGACGAGAAACACGAACAUUGCAUUUAUGAGAACUAGAGGCUGCUGGAAAACAUCUGAACUGCAUAAAUUUAUUUUGCCUUUUCUACUAUAGCUACUAUUUUUCUUUCAGUUCCAUUAGGAACAGACUCUAUUAUAUAGAGUUAUUUCAAAAUAAUUAAACAAUAAAGUCUUGUGCUGUAUAAUAAAACA
rnacentral:lncRNA from 1 species